UUCAAAUAUCUUUUUAAGAAGUGUCCUGUUUGGAGGCUGAUCCAAACCAGACUGUGACGGCUCUCCUCCAACAUGCUCCUCCUCCUGGUCUACCUGGCUGCACUCAGCCAGCAGUCUGCUGCAGGUGGACUUACACGACGGAAAAGUUGCAAUUUGUUUCAAAGGCCAUUAUCCCGCUACACAAGAGAAUGACUGUUUAGUGAUAGCACAGGAGUCAAUCAUUGCAGGAAGAUGGACAUCAGCUACAUUCAACCAAUGGCUUGGAUCAAUUUAUCAUCAAAAAGUGCCUGGUCUCGUUGGUACAUCAAUAUGCUACACUUUUAUAUCCUCACAGUCAAACAGCCUAUACGUUGAGUAUUGUUCUGAGUAUUGUUCUUUCCAGUUCAAAUUGCAUUACUUUGGCCAACAAUCCAUUGUCAACCUACAGGAUUACAGAGGUUAAAACGUGUGGAAUGAAGCAGAGAGGUCACUAUCCGUUGUCUGGUGGUGUAUUUUCGAGAAAAGGAGGAGGACCUCUUCAAAGAGCACUUG